rnacentral:rRNA from 1 species
AUUGAACGCUGGCGGCAGGCCUAACACAUGCAAGUCGAACGAGUGGCGGACGGGUGAGUAAUGUAUGGGAAUCUGCCCGAUGGAGGGGGAUAACUACUGGAAACGGUGGCUAAUACCGCAUACUAUCGGAUGAACCAAUAUGGGAUUAGCUAGUAGGUGGGGUAAAGGCUCACCUAGGCGACGAUCCCUAGCUGGUCUGAGAGGAUGACCAGCCACACUGGGACUGAGACACGGUCCAGACUCCUACGGGAGGCAGCAGUGGGGAAUAUUGCACAAUGGGCGCAAGCCUGAUGCAGCCAUGCCGCGUGUAUGAAGAAGGCCUUAGGGUUGUAAAGUACUUUCAGCGGGGAGGCGUUACCCGCAGAAGAAGCACCGGCUAACUCCGUGCCAGCAGCCGCGGUAAUAC